rnacentral:rRNA from 1 species
AUUGAACGCUGGCGGCAUGCCUAACACAUGCAAGUCGAACGGCAGCACGGCAGUAGCAAUACUGUGGGUGGCGAGUGGCGGACGGGUGAGGAAUACGUCGGAAUCUGCCCAGUCGUGGGGGAUAACUAGCCGAAAGGUUAGCUAAUACCGCGUACGACCGAGAGGUGAAAGCGGGGGACCGCAAGGCCUCGCGCGAUUGGAUGAGCCGACGUCGGAUUAGCUAGUUGGUGGGGUAAAGGCCCACCAAGGCGACGAUCCGUAGCUGGUCUGAGAGGAUGAUCAGCCACACUGGAACUGAGACACGGUCCAGACUCCUACGGGAGGCAGCAGUGGGGAAUAUUGGACAAUGGGCGCAAGCCUGAUCCAGCAAUGCCGCGUGUGUGAAGAAGGCCUCGGUUG